CCCUUAGAUGUUCUGGGCCGCACGCGUGCUACACUGAGUAAAUCAAUGGGUAAGGGAACACGAAAGUGCAACCUAAUCUUGAAAUUUGCUCGUGAUGGGGAUCGACGGUUGCAAUUUUCCGUCGUGAACGAGGAAUACCUUGUAGGCGCGUGUCAUCAUCACGCGCCGAAUACGUCCCUGCCCUUUGUACACACCGCCCGUCGCUCCUACCGAUUGAGCGAUCCGGUGAAUGUUUUGGACUGGCGUCAGAAGCGGUUCGCUCCUGACACUACGAAAUUUUGUAAACCUUAUCGCUUAGAGGAAGGAAAAGUCGUAACA
rnacentral:rRNA from 1 species